rnacentral:tRNA from 1 species
UCUCUGGUGGCUCAGAUGGUAAAGAAUCUGCUUGCAAUGCAGGAGACCCAGGUUUGAUCCCUGGGUCGGGAA